UUUGCGGCACGCAACGAGUGUCUUUUCGGGCGUUUGUCUGUUCUGAGGUAGACGGGACGGAGAACACUCACUGCGGGAUUUCCCCUUAUUGCUGACUGUAAUGGAGAGAAACUGUCCUAUGGUGUGUGCAGCAGCUCUGAGACAUGAGGUGCCGGAGAGGAUUUCAGGCCAGCUGGGUUUCCUUACUGUCCUGACCUUCAGCACUGAUCCAACAUGAUGUUUCUGCUGUAGCAGAGGUUGGCAUCCUUAUCACAAGCUCCAGCAACAUAGGUUUCCUCCUUAGCAGAGAUGGCCUCCUUAUCUCCAACUCCAGCAGAGAUUUAAUGAUGAAUCCUGAGCUAUCCUGGAGAAACAAAAGGAGUGUCUACAGCCUUUCAUUAAGUGGCAGAUGGAUGGCAGCCCUUAGUGACGGCUCAGAGCACAGCUGUCAGCACUUGGGUCUGCAGUCACACUCUGGAUUAAAAUGCAUCACACUGCUACUUUUUACAAAACUUGUUGAAAGUGACUUAAUUGUCUGUAUACCUGUCUUUGUCAUAUGCUGUGUUCACUGUGGCAGCACAUUUCCUUGUAAAUGGACAAUAAAUCUAUCUGAAUCAGA